GCAGGCCUAAUACAUGCAAGUCGAGCGCGCCCUUCGGGGUGAGCGGCGGACGGGUGCGUAACACGUAGGAAUCUACCUAGUAGUGGGGGAUAGCCCGGGGAAACUCGGAUUAAUACCGCAUACGCCCUACGGGGGAAAGGCCGGGAUCUUCGGACCGGUCGCUAUUGGAUGAGCCUGCGUUGGAUUAGCUAGUUGGUAGGGUAAAGGCCUACCAAGGCGACGAUCUUUAGCUGUUCUGAGAGGAUGAUC
rnacentral:rRNA from 1 species